UCUCAUGCCAAGCGUGCCCAGCAUUUGCACA
rnacentral:piRNA from 2 species